rnacentral:lncRNA from 1 species
UAGAGUAUUGUAGUGGUGAUAAGAUUAGAUGCCCUUGUAUGAGAUGCGACAACCAGAAAUUUCUUAACCGUGAUACGGUCAAUGUUCAUCUGUUGAGAAAGGGGUUUACACCGGGGUAUUCAACAUGGUUUGCACAUGGGGAGUUACUUGGUGCAGUUGCUCCUGUAAGUACAAGUGCAGUAGAAGCAUCCACAUCAAUGGAU